UACGUAGGGUGCGAGCGUUGUCCGGAAUUAUUGGGCGUAAAGAGCUCGUAGGCGGUCUGUCGCGUCGAUCGUGAAAACUUGGGGCUUAACCCUGAGCUUGCGGUCGAUACGGGCAUGACUGGAGUUCGGCAGGGGAGACUGGAAUUCCUGGUGUAGCGGUGAAAUGCGCAGAUAUCAGGAGGAACACCAGUGGCGAAGGCGGCAUCCUGGACCAAUAUUGACGCUGAGGAGCGAAAGCCAGGGGAGCAAACGGG
rnacentral:rRNA from 1 species